CCUCCUCCAGCUCUUCCUCCUCCUUCUUCUCUUCCUCCUCCUCCUUCUCUUCUUCCUCUCCUCUUCUUCCUUCUUCUCCUCUUUUUCCUUUUCCUUCUCUUCUUCUUCUUCCUCCUUCUCCAUCUCCUCCUCCUCCUCUUCCUCCUUCUACUCUUCUUCUUCCUCCUCCUCCUCUUCCUUCUCCACCUCCUCUUCUUCCUCCUCCUUCUACUUCUUCUUCUUCUCCUUAUUUCUCCUCCUCUUCUUCUUCUUCUUCCUCCUCCUUCUACUUCUUCUUCUUCCUCCUCCUUCUUCUUCUUCUCAUUUCUCCUCCUCUUCUUCUUCCUCCUCCUUUUACUUCUCCUGCUUCUCUUAUUUCUCCUCUUCUUCCUCCUCCUUUUUCUCUUCCUUCUUUUCAUCCUCCUCCUCCUCCAUUCCAUCCUCAAGCCUCCCUUCCCAUGGGGCUGCAGCGCCGACCCACGGCGUCACCCCAACGCUUUGGGUAGGACAGGACCUUCCAAACCCCCCCAGUUCCCCCCCCUCCUCCUCCUCCUCUUCUUCCUCUUCCUCCUCCUCCUCUUCUUCUUCCUCCUCCUCCUCCUUCUCCUCCUCCUCCUCUUCCUUCACCUCUUCUUCCUUCUCCUUCUCCUCCUCCUCUUUCCUCCUCCUCACCCUCCUCAUCCUCUCUCCCUCACCAGACGACCCUGGGGGUGUGUGUGUGUGUGUGUGUGUUGUGGGGGUGUUUCUGGGACUUCAGCGUGGGUGGGGUCCUUCCUCGCGCAGAGAUCUCGGACCUGCUGAUCACGAGGAAGGUGAAGGACAGCGCGAAGCCGAUCCUGAACCUCACCCAGCUCAGCUUCCACCAGAUCCGCAAGAACGAGAUCUCCCAGAGAGCCCACCUGGGCCAGGGCACCCGCACCAACAUCUACGAGGGGGUGUUGACCGUCUGCGGCAGCGGCGGGGCCGAGGACGAAGCCGAAUAUUUCUCCACCGAGCAGAACAACAACAGCCGGGAGAUGCACGUGGUCCUCAAAGUCCUGGACCCCAGCCAUAGGGACAUCGCCUUGGUGAGCCACCCAAAGGGGAGGUGGUGGGACCCAUAGCGUUCCUCGGGGGUCGCUCGUUGGGACCAUUGGUGUUUUGACACCUCUGGUGAUGGAGAUGGUGGGGUU
rnacentral:lncRNA from 1 species